GUGCAAUUCAGUUGGCCAUUUCAUUCCUCUUAAACUCUCUUUCAAUACCAAGUUUUUGGAUCCACUUACUCACCAAAUCAGCAGUCGAUUUCAAGCCCACCAUCUUCCUCCAAACUUUAGCACGACAUUACAUUCAUCAGCAAACAUACAGCAGCAAAAAUUUGAGCCCAAUUCUCUUUAAUACUAAGCCCAAAACCUAUUCUUCAACGAAGCAACCCAACCCACUUCUUGAAGCCCAAAAAAUAAAAUAAAAAUUCAAUACCCAACAACAAUAUGCGUACGUACAACAAGACCGACCCGCUCCACCCUCGCGUCUUCUUCCUCAACAGAACUCGCGAGAGCCCAUACAAUAUCCAUGCCCGAAGACUCUUCUCCAGCAUACGAUUAACAUCAAUAGCUACUCCAAACGGCGCAACAGUACACCUGCGCAGCCGCGUCCCGUCCUCUUUUCCCCCUUUUGCGGAAGUCACAUUUUUUCCCCAUCUUUCACGGUUAGUCUUGGAAAAGAGAAAAGGAAAGUUCUAAUUUUCUCUUGAAAUUUUCCAACAAAUUUGCCCUAAAUCUUUCCCUAUAAAUACCCCUUUACACUCAGAAAUGAGGGACAAGAGUUGAGCUUUGCUUUAAAGCAAUUGCCACUUCUACACUUCAAAUUUUUAUAUCUAACUUUCUAAUUCUAAGUUUUGAGAAGAUCGACGCUAGAAUUUUCCUGGUUUACUGUUCAUAUUCGAAACUCGUGAUAGAAGAAUCACCCCUCUCAAGAUCGUUUGUCCCAGUCACUGCUCACCAAAAGGUCAAAUUUCUUUCGAGUCAGCCCCGUCAAUGUUCUAUGAUGCUGGAAGCUGAAACAGGACCCGAACAGUCCAAAACUGGUUGUAUGCUCCCUGUAUACAUCAGUAUACACUAGUAUACACCAUGAAAAUAUUAAUAUACAGGUCAAAAUGCAACAAACAAUAGACAAAAACAAAGAUACAGGUUUGAGGCAUCAAGGUGGACUGUACACAGUCGAUAUAUGGGUCGAUAUACAAGAAGUGGUGCUAAUAUGCAAGGUGUAUUACUGAUAUACGGCUUUUGUAUACAAAAAUGGGUUUUGAUUAAAACCCCAAAAGUAGCAGCAAAUUCGGCUAAGAAAGUCCAAGUUCAUCUUCUCCUUUAUUCCCUUAACUUACUUAAUUGUGAUUAUUUAUUGCUUUGUGUCUUUUGUUAACUCUAACUUAAAAUAACUUGAUUAAAUUCCCCAAAAGAUGAAUCAUAUUCAUUAUGUUUGUUCGUCUUGA